AUUGAACGCUGGCGGCAGGCCUAACACAUGCAAGUCGAGCGGAGCGGCGGACGGGUGAGUAAUGCCUAGGAAUCUGCCUGGUAGUGGGGGAUAGCGUCAGGAAACGGGCGCUAAUACCGCAUACUAUCAGAUGAGCCUAGGGCGGAUUAGCUAGGUGGUGGGGUAAAGGCCUACCAAGGCGACGAUCCGUAACUGGUCUGAGAGGAUGAUCAGUCAAACUGGAACUGAGGUACGGCCCAGACGCCUACGGGAGGCAGCAGUGGGGAAGAGUGGGCAAUGGGCGAAAGCCUGAUACAGCCAUGCCGCGUGUGUGAAGAAGGUCUUCGGAUUGUAAAGCACUUUAAGUUGGGAGGCGUUACCAACAGAAUAAGCACCGGCUAACUUCGUGCCAGCAGCCGCGGUAAUUC
rnacentral:rRNA from 1 species